rnacentral:snRNA from 1 species
GUGCUCGCUUCGGGAGCACAUAUACUAAAAUUGGAACGAUACACAGAAGAUUAGCAUGGCCCCUGCGCAAGGAUGACACGCAAAUUUGUGAAGUGUUCCAUAUUUUU